rnacentral:misc_RNA from 1 species
AAUAUUACAAGUAGUAACGACCAUAAGACAUGGUUUUUCUAGGUUAAAAUUGAAGCUCAUGUCAAAGAAAGGAUUGAGUGUUUGAGAUAUUGAUGUCAAAAUCUUCAACAAAUAUGAUAACUCUGGACUCUGUGAUAAAAUCUAGUAGCUAUGUUGGAAUCUACAUCUGUUUUGUCUUUUCCAUACAGAUGAUGUACUUAGACAGUGACUGUACGGUGCCAUCUGCUACCUAGGAAUUAAUAUAAUCCCUAUCCAUGAAAAACAAUGAAAUGCUGCUGAAUCCUCUGGAGA